rnacentral:rRNA from 1 species
CGCGUAGGUGGUUUUGUGUGUCUACCGUGAAAGCGUACGGCUCAACCGUAUUUUGUCGGUAGAAACUGCAGGACUUGAGGCUGGGAGGGGCUGGUGGAAUUCCCUGUGUAGCGGUGAAAUGCGUAGAGAUGGGGGAGAACACUCGUGGCGAAGGCGGCCAGCUAGACCAGUUCUGACACUGAGGCGCGACAGCGUGGGGAGCAAACA